GUUGUGACUCAGUGGUAGAGCGCUUGCCUAGCAUAUGCAAGGCCCUGGGUUCGGUCCUCAGCAUCACA
rnacentral:tRNA from 1 species